rnacentral:lncRNA from 1 species
CCACUGUAACUGUCCAAAUACCCUCAAUUUAGUCAUUAAACAACUACUACUUUUUGGUUAAGGUCAUGUUUUGCAUCAUAUUAAUUACUUUCAACACUGAGUUUACAUUUUAUUCUGUACUCAUAAUACUUGUGUUGCAUACAAUUGUACCAAUACAUUUUAUUGGUUUUAUGGGGACUACAAAUCAUUGCUUAGAAAGCAAAAUAAAUUUGGUGUAGGUAUAGUCCAACUAAAGAGAGCAUGUCUCUUCUUUUUGAUGUAUACUAUAAAUAGGUUUCUAAAGCGGCAAUUACAUGUAUAACAGUGGUUGUCAAUCAGGGAUUUUUUUUUUAAAGUUUAAAAAAUAGUGUAGGAUUCCUUAUACAGCCUGUAUAAACAUUAGACAAGCUGGUUUUACACUAGCAUAUACCCCGCGGUAUGAAGAACUUGUGACAAGGGUUUCAUAUGAAAUAAAAUUUAAAAAAUAAAAUCCUCCCACCCGCCCCAUGUUUUUCAAAAAUUUGGAUGAAAAUCUACUAAUUAAUUUUAGUUGGCCUAAACUUUAA